rnacentral:tRNA from 1 species
AGCAGCGUGGCGCAGCGGAAGCGCGCCGGGCUCAUAACCCGGAGGUCACUUGAUCGAAACGAGUCGCUGCUA